rnacentral:rRNA from 1 species
UACGUAGGUGGCAAGCGUUGUCCGGAUUUACUGGGCGUAAAGAGCGCGCAGGCGGUCAGAUAAGUCGAAUGUGAAAGCCCCCGGCUCAACUGGGGAGGGUCAUUCGAUACUGUUCGACUCGAAGGCAGGAGAGGGAAGUGGAAUUCCCGGUGUAGUGGUGAAAUGCGUAGAGAUCCGGAGGAAGACCGGUGGCGAAGGCGGUCUGCUGGGCAGUUUCUGACACUGAGGCGCGACAGCGUGGGGAGCAAACAGG